rnacentral:misc_RNA from 1 species
AGUGUAUCCUCCUCUCCGCCUAUCCCUUAAUUUCUAAAAGGUGAAGAGAAAGAGGCAGAAGGUUAAAAUUCAUAAACCAACCCAAAACUUCAAAAUCAACUAGGUUCAAAACAACCUGCCCUACUUUUAGAACAAUUAUAUGGAUCGCCUAUUUUUCCCUGUUUAAAUGAUGGGCUACCUAAUGGGUAGUAUCAUAUCCAUCCCUUAACACCUGAUGAAAGAUGG